UUUUUGCCUAUUUCUCAAAAGCGGAGGAAAAGAAACCAACUGGGAUUACCUUAGUAACGGCGAGUGAAGCGGUAAAAGCUCAAAUUUGAAAUCUGGUACUUUCAGUGCCCGAGUUGUAAUUUGUAGAAUUUGUCUUUGAUUAGGUCCUUGUCUAUGUUCCUUGGAACAGGACGUCAUAGAGGGUGAGAAUCCCGUUUGGCGAGGAUACCUUUUCUCUGUAAGACUUUUUCGAAGAGUCGAGUUGUUUGGGAAUGCAGCUCAAAGUGGGUGGUAAAUUCCAUCUAAAGCUAAAUAUUGGCGAGAGACCGAUAGCGAACAAGUACAGUGAUGGAAAGAUGAAAAGAACUUUGAAAAGAGAGUGAAAAAGUACGUGAAAUUGUUGAAAGGGAAGGGCAUUUGAUCAGACAUGGUGUUUUUUGCAUGCACUCGCCUCUCGUGGGCUUGGGCCUCUCAAAAAUUUCACUGGGCCAACAUCAAUUCUGGCAGCAGGAUAAAUCAUUAAGAAUGUAGCUACUUCGGUAGUGUUAUAGCUUUUUGGAAUACUGUUAGCCGGGAUUGAGGACUGCGCUCGGCAAGGCAAGCAUAGCGAAGG
rnacentral:rRNA from 1 species